rnacentral:lncRNA from 1 species
UUUGAAAGAAUUAAAAGAUUAAGUUUCUUAUUUAUUUGUGUAGGUGUGUUUGUGUGUGAGGGUUUCUCUUCCAUGGUGCACAUGUAAAGGUUAGUGAAUAACUUUUGGGAUUGUUCUCCUGCCAUAUAGGUACCGAGGAAUUGGACUCAGGCCAUCCAGUUUGGCAGCAAGUAACUUUACACGCUUAGCCAUCUCUAUGAAUGUGUACUACUGAUAGGGACACAGCCUUGUCAAGGACCCCAGAGGAGGCACAGACCCAUAGAGGAACAGCAAAGCCUUCCAUCUCAUGGUGAAGCUUGAGGAAAAAUGAAUCCGGGUCAUGUGUGGAUGUUGAUAUGGUAUAUAGAAAUUGUCCUUCAUAGUUUUCUCCUCCAGAUAUUUACAGCCUAAAGACUGCUCCCAAAUAGAGACUGCUCCUACCAUAAUUAGCCAGUCCUGUCUCCUUGAUCUAUCUGUACACCUUGGCUGUAUACUUUGGGAUCCAUAAAUCUUGCCUCCUCACCUAUCUGUAUGUAACCCCAUCUCCAAAUUCAGCUGUAUGCAGUAAUCCCAUUUCUCGAUCAAUUCUACAUAAGAAACAUGCUGGGACUGGGCUGGGGGCUUCAGUUUCUCUGGAAGAGACCCCAGACCACAUGACUCUAGCUCCCUAGCUACCACCCUUUCUCUUCUUCCUCCCUUCUUUUCUUCCUCCCUUCUCUUCUCUUCUCUUCUCUUCUCUUCUCUUCUCUUCUCUUCUCUUCUCUCCUCUCCCCUCCCCUCCCCUCCCCUCCCCUCCCCUCCCCUCCCC